rnacentral:lncRNA from 1 species
AAGACCAAAAAGAAAAAGAAAAAAUGUUCAUUUCCAAGCCACAGAUCGGGGAUCUCAUACAACUUUCUUCCGUUCUUUCUGCCUGCUUCAGUUUCUCCUCUAAAAGGAAGUGGUCUGUGUGUUAGAGAACGGUUUUCCAGUUAGAAAUUUCUAACUUUUUGUAGGAUUUCUAAAAGUAAUUUCAGUCUUGAGAAAUCUAGGAAGAUGGUUAUGCAAAUGGGUAACAGAAAGCAGAAAAUGCCAGUGAGGAUUUUAAAGCCACUACUUCUUGUGGCAGAAGUUCUAUUCCGGGUUUGGUUUUGUAUUUUUCUUAUCUCUUUUCUCGAAACGAGUGUCCCAUUCUUGAUCCUGAAGAACAUUAAGUACAAAAACAUAGCUCUUAGCUUUUCCAGUUUUAAGACAUUAGCAAGUGUCCUGGUGAAACAAGAUGUGGGAUUUCUUUGGGUUGGCUGUUGAGUACCAUCUGCUGCACCCUUGAAUAUUUAGCAAGCACUAUGUGAAGAUGAAAGUCUGCACUUAGGUGCAGUCGUGGUGAACAAGGAAGGUUUUUGUAAUUAGAAAAUAACUUGAAAAAUCAACAGGUGAAUAUUUUCCUCCAAGAUGGAAAUAGCUUUGUGUGUGUGUGUGUGUGUGUGUGUGUGUGUCUGUGUGUGUGUGUGUCUUUUGGGGCUAUGCCCAUGGCAUAUGGAAUUUCCCAGGCUAGGGGUCGAAUCCAAGCUACAGCUGCCAGCCACAGUCACAGCAAUACCAGAUAUGAGCUGCAUUUGUGACCUAUACCAUAGCUCACGGCAACGAUGGAUUUUUAACCCACUGAACAAGGCCAGGGAUCAAACCCAUGUCCUCAUGGAUGCUGGUUGGUUCCUAACCCACUGAGCCAUGACGGGAACUCCUGCAAAUAGCUUUUUGAGUUUAAAGGUAACAUGCUCCUGGAAAGAUCAUAGUGAGUAUUAAAAAGGAAAUUAUUUGUAAUCCUCCCACCCAGGAAAAACCUAAUACUGUAUGUAUUUCUUUCAUCUUUAUACAUAGGCAUUUUUUACAUUUAAAUCUUUACUUCUUUGGGAAUUUGCUUUGUAAGCUGAGGUAUAGGGAUCUUAAUUCUCACCAAAAUAAUCCUGGCUCUCUCAGUACUUAGUGAAUUGUCCAUCCUUUUUCUGCCAAUUUUUAUUAUGCUGUAUAUGCCUAAAUUGUUCAUUUCUGGAGUCUCUUGUUUAGUCCCAUUCCAUCCCAUACUGUUAAUACUAUUUUUAUAAUAUUCUUUCUGAGACUAUUAGGCAAGUCCUCUCGUCAUUACUCUUCUGGGAGGGACUCGUGCAAUUUUUUUUAUGAAUAAAGUUAUUACUUCAUCAAAUUCCAAAAAGUCCUUGGAAUUGUUUAAGUAGGGAAGAAUUCUUAUUUUUCCAUUAAGGCUUCCUUUUGGAGAUAUUACUUCAUUUAUUCAGAUUUUCUUUGCUUCAGUAAAACUGUCAGUUUUCUUGUUUAGAUCCUAUCCUAUAUGCUGCUAAUGGCUCUAACGUAGUCUCAGUAUAAAUUUGGAAAUCCUUCAGGAAAGAGUGAAUUAGCAAAAGUUGUCAAAAUAUUUAUACUUUUGACUCAGUAACACCAUUCGUAAACAAUACGUGUGAGUAAAGAUGGAGUGAGAACUUGACCUUUGGUUAACUCUAGCUGUUUUCCUUGCGAAUGGCAUUAAAAGCAGACUGUACCCUCUGUCCCGGAUGAGAUGUCUCCUGGUUGGCAUUGCAUCUGACAGGCGCAGGCCUGGGUGUCAUGGAACCUGUGGCUCUUGUGCUGGAUGUGUCCCUCCUGGGGAGCUGUGGGAGCUUUCCAAAGAGAUAUGUGCUGCUCUAGGUGAGGCCAUCACCCAAGGAGUAAUGUCUGAGCAGAGGCGUGAACAAAGCGGGUCGGAGCUGUUGCGUGUGGGGAGUGUUGCCCCGGAGCCACCCAGCAUCCAUGCAGGGGUCAUUCCCCCAGACUCUCUGGGGCAGGUGGUCCUGCUGCGCUGUGUGGCCAAGCUCUUGCUGCCAAGGGAGGUGGUUCCCCCUCCUGCUCACAUGCCUUCUCCUUUCUCCUAGUUUGAAGGAUGACCUCUAGGAAGAAAGUGUUGCUGAAGGUUAUCAUCCUGGGAGAUUCUGGAGUUGGUAAGACUUCACUCAUGAACCAGUAUGUGAACAAGAAGUUCAGUAAUCAGUACAAAGCGACAAUAGGAGCAGACUUCCUGACGAAGGAGGUGAUGGUGGAUGACAGACUAGUCACAAUGCAGGUAAGCGCUGGUCUCAGCUUGGCCGGCUGUGCCCAGGUCCUGUAGCCUUGACCCUUUCUCCUGUGCCUGCCUGUUCCCUUCUCUAUUCUUUAGUCAUGGGUAAUUGGCUUAGAGGUAGGGUUGCCAAAUAAAAUAUAAGAAAGAUACCAAGUUAGUCCCCAAAUUUGCAUGAGACAUAGUAAAAUUUUUUCGUUGUUUUUUCCAAAGUUCAGAUUUGUCUGGUCUUUCUGUUUUUUGUUGUUGUUUUGGUUUUCUGUUGUUGUUUUGUGCUAAGUGGCAUCCUGCAGAUUCCUGUCUUAUGUCUCCAAAAAAAAUGCCUAACUCAUCUCUUUCUUAAUAUCCUUGCCUCAUGCUUUAGGCCAAAAAAAUCUUUGUGUCUUUCCUGGGUUCUUACAGCACUCAUUAAAGUAGUUUUCCAACUUUUCUGGUUUCUUAUAAGCUGUCCUAUCUAUAUCCCCCAAAGUUGUGUUAAGCCAAUCUGGUUUUUUCAUAUAUUGGCUUAAUUUGCUUUCAAGGGCCUCCCUUUCAACAGUUAGGAUAAAAACAGAUUCCUUCACAUGGCUCUUUGAAAGCCUUCACAUUCUGGCCACAAAUUCUUCACUUUUUCAUCUCAUCCCAGUCCUUCCCUGUCAUGUGCUGCUCUUACAAAGCUGUCUGUGCGGCUCAGCUUCCAGCAAGGCCCUCUUUUCACAUCUAUACUCAUCCCAGAGUCUCCAACGUUCAGACCAGAUUUUGUUUUGGGAGCUCCUAUCUCCACAGCAGUGUUGCCUCCUUUCUGUGCUGAGAAAAGUGGGUUCUUCUCCAUUGGUGUCGUGGCAAGCCCCAGGCUGGCCAAAAUGUUUGAUUGGCACAGGUCACAGGUGCAAGUUUUUACAUGUGUUGACCUUGAGCUAUGUCAUGCUCUCAGAGAAUGAGGCUUCUUGAUACCUAACCUUACUCCUGUAGGAUGGAGCUGAGGCAGGUCUCCCCGACCCCCCAUUCCCAGUGGUAUUCACUCCUUAACUGGGGGUGGGCAAAAAUAGGUCAAGGGGACUAAGAGGUACAAACAUCCAGUUAUAAAAUGUGCAGUAUAGGGGCUAUAGCCAAUAGUAUUGUAAUAACUUUGUGUCGUUUUAAAAAAAAAUGUUUUCGGGAGUUCCCAUUGAGGCUCAGCAGUAAUGAAUCUGACUGGUAUCCAUAAGAUGUGGGUUUGAUCCCUGGUACUGCUCAGUGGCUUAGAGAUCUGAUGUUGCCACAAGCUGUGGUGUAGGUUGCAGGCAUGGCUUGGAUCUGGCUUUGCUGUGGCAGUGGCGUAGACUGACAUCUGAAGCUCCAAUUGUACCCUUAGCCUGGGAGGUUCCAUAUGCCACAGGUGCAACCCUAAAAAGGGGGAAAAUAUUUUUUUUUUCAACUUAAUUUACAGUGUUGUUAGUUUCAGGUGUACAGCAGAGUGAUUCAGUUACACUUAUACAUAUAUCCAUUCCUUUUCAGAUUCUUUUCCCAUAUAGAUUUUUACAAGUUACUGAGUUUGCUGUGCUAUACAGUAGAUCCUUGUAGAUUAUCUAUUUUGUUUUGUAAAUAGGUUCAUUUGUGUCAUUUUUUUAGAUUCCACAUAUAAGUGAUAUCAUAUGAUAUUUGUCAUUCCCUUUCUGACUUACUUCACUUAGUAUGAUAAUCUCCAGGUCCAUCCAUGUUGCUGUGAAUGGCAUUAUUGCCUUCUUUUUCAUGGCUACAUCAUGUAUAUGUACAUCGUGUAUUACAUUGUGUAUAUAUAUCAUAUCUUUUCUAUCCAUGGCUCUAUUGAUGGACAUUUAGGUUGUUUCCAUGUCUUGGCUAUUGUGAAUAGUGCUGCAGUGAACACAGGAGUGCAUGGAUCUUUCCAGUUACAGUUUUCUCUAGAUACAGGCCCAGGAGUGGGAUUGCUAGAUCAUAUGGCAAUUCUGUGUUUAGUUCCCAUUAUGGCUCAGUGGUAAUGAACCCGACUAGCAUCCAAGAGGAUUCUGGUUCCAUCCCUGGCCUCUUUCAGUGGGUUAAGGAUCUGGCAUUGCUGUGAGCUGUGGUGUAGGUUGCAGACACAGCUCAAAUCCUGUGUUGCUGUGGCUCUGGCGUAGGCUGGCGGCUACAGCUCCAAUUUGACCCCUAGGCUGGGAACCUCCAUAUGCCUCGAGUGUGGCCCUAAAAAGAAAAAAAUCUUGAUACAUAUCUGAUUAGUAAAAUAUUCUAAAGUCAUCUAUAUUUUAGUAAUCUGUGUGUGUGUAACUAAAGUUUAAAUAAGCCAAGUUUGAAAGAAGGAAAUUUGUAGAUAAUAGGAAAGGAGAGAGACCUGAAUGCCAGUGAUAAGCUCAGGCCCCUGCCUUGGUGAUUUGUGGAUUUAAAACAGGGGCUAAGAGGUACUGUUGUAGCGCAGUGGAAACGAAUCUGACUAGGAACCAUGAGGUUGCAGGUUCAAUCCCUGGCCUCACUCAGUGGGUUAAGGAUCUGGUGUUGUGAGCUGUGGUGUAAGUUCCAGAAGCAUCUCGGAUCCUGCGUUGCUGUGGCGUAGGCUGUCAGCUACAGCUCCAAUUAGACCCCUAGCCUGGGAACCUCCAUAUGCUGUGGGUGUGGCUCUAAAACAUAAAUAAAUGAAUAAAUAAAUAAAACAGGAGCUAGAGGGAGUUCCCAUUGUGGCUCAGUGGUAACAAACUCAACUAGUAUCCAUAAGGACGCGAGUUUGAUCCCUGGCCUUGUUCAGUGGGUUAAGGAUCUGACAUUUCUGUGAGCCAUGGUGUAGGUCGCAAAUGUGGCUUGGAUCCCACGUUGCUGUGGCUGUGGUGGAGGCCAGCAGCUAUAGGUCACAUUCAACCCCUAGCCUGGGAUCUUCCAUAUGCCUCAGGUGUGGGCCUAAAAAGACAACAAACAAACAAACAAAGUGGCCUAGAGCGCUGUCAACCAUCAUGAACAAGAGAUGUGAACAGCCCGAGUUGGUGGGGGUGGGUGGUAGAACUGCAAGCCCCCUGGAUGUCAAGACACAUAGUCACCUGGGAGCCUGAAGUAUGACUAAAACCUUAGCCUGAGUAAGUGGCCAAGCUGGUGUGUGAAGUACCGGCUUUGCCGCUUGGUCUCCUGCUUGGAGACUGUGGGUCCCACCGUGCUUGUAUGUGGGCUCCCGCAUUAUACUCUGUAUGUCAUAGGCCUCUGCCAUCCUGGCAGAAAUAAAGAGAAGGCCACUCUGUAGAGAGCUGUACAGCUUCUGGGUAGAGGAUGAGCUCAUAGGCACAUGAGGAAAUAAUGUACUGCAGAAAAUGUUCAUGAUGACUAGCGAUCUCUUCAAAAGGAAUGGAAACUGUAAUGGAAAGGGACACUGUGAAAAAUGAGGAUAUGGAACACUUAGAACUUUUAGGAAGUGAAAAAAGUCAUUGAAAUAAACCAAAGAGUGAAACGGCAGAUUAGACACAGCUGAAGAAAACAGUAAAUUUCAACAUUAAGAGCUGAGCCAAUUACCACAAAGAAAACUCAAAAUUAUGGAGCACCAGAAAUCAGAAUCCUAAGGCAAGUGGAGAGCAAAGACAGAUAAAGGGACAGCAGUCAGACAGAUGAGUUCUCGGCAGCGACAGAAAGCUGAGGGGAUUGGGGUAUGUCUUUGGUGCUGGGUCGAAUGUGGCCUGGAUGGCACGAGUUCUUCCCCCACCCCCCACCCCUGCUGGACAGAGCUACUUCCUGUAGCAGGAGAGCCAGGUGGACCACGGUGGGCUUCUGGUAGCCACGUGGGCAGAGGUAGAAGCGAGACCUGGCCCCGUCUGGCACGGGGCCUUGCUUCUAAAAGACCCCACAUGUACUUCAGGCUGGGACCUCUGGGGAGCCCACGGUGCCAAGCGCAGUCUGGAAAGGGUAUGAAAGACCGUGGUCCUCAGGUUGGAAAGGCUGCCUCUCUCCUUCCACGGCCAGUUUAAAAGACUCAAGUUACAGGAAAACCAUCAUCGCUGACAAAGGCAUCAUCAUCCUAGAUCGUGAGGAAUCCUCACCUGUGUUUCACAGGCUUUUAGCAGCUUGCAAGUAAAAGAUAAUUCAAGUCAGACAGCAAGGCAGGAACCAGUGCAAACCUCCCUGGCAAUUCAGAGUGGGUUUUGUAUUUAAAGAAAUAAAGCAGUCUUAUGUAUCUGCAGAGACAAAACUAAGCAGGUGGCGUGGGUCAGUAGAACUUCUAAAAAUGAAAUGCCCUGACCAGCACUUGUAAAUUUAGAGAAUGUUUUUAGCAGCAGUUGGGCUGCACCAAAAGAGGGCUGAAAGGAGGAGAAUGUUGGGAAAUGGAAAAGAGGCAGAAAGAGGAACUACAUUGCCUCAGUCUCAGACAGGUGGAUAGAUCAAAAAUAAUAUUUGCUGAAAAUUUUCCAGAAUUGAUGUGGCACCAAUCCAUAGAUUCAGGAAGCCCAAAUCCCAAGAAAAAUAAAGAAGUCUAGAAAAAUCAAGAUGAAAUUUUUUUUAAAGAGACAAACUUGGGAAUUCCCUUCAUGGCUCAGUGGUUAACGAACACGACUAGGUAGAAUCUAUGAGGUUGUGGGUUUGAUCCCUGGCCUCCUCAUUCAGUGGGUUGAGGAUCUGAUGUUGCCGUGAGCUGUGG